UACGUAGGGUGCGAGCGUUAAUCGGAAUUACUGGGCGUAAAGCGUGCGCAGGCGGUCUGUUAAGACCGAUGUGAAAUCCCCGGGCUUAACCUGGGAACUGCAUUGGUGACUGGCAGGCUUUGAGUGUGGCAGAGGGAGGUAGAAUUCCACGUGUAGCAGUGAAAUGCGUAGAGAUGUGGAGGAAUACCGAUGGCGAAGGCAGCCUCCUGGGCCAACACUGACGCUCGAUGCACGAAAGCGUGGGAGCAAACAG
rnacentral:rRNA from 1 species